GGUUUAAUUCGAUGAUACGCGAGGAACCUUACCCGGGUUUGAACGUAGUCUGACCGGAGUGGAAACACUCCUUCUAGCAAUAGCAGAUUACGAGGUGCUGCAUGGUUGUCGUCAGCUCGUGCCGUGAGGUGUCGGCUUAAGUGCCAUAACGAGCGCAACCCUUAUCACUAGUUACUAACAGGUGAAGCUGAGGACUCUGGUGAGACUGCCAGCGUAAGCUGUGA
rnacentral:rRNA from 1 species